rnacentral:rRNA from 1 species
AUGCACGCUGGCGGCGUGCCUAAUACAUGCAAGUCGAGCGAACGGACGAGAAGCUUGCUUCUCUGAUGUUAGCGGCGGACGGGUGAGUAACACGUGGAUAACCUACCUAUAAGACUGGGAUAACUUCGGGAAACCGGAGCUAAUACCGGAUAAUAUUUUGAACCGCAUGGUUCAAAAGUGAAAGACGGUCUUGCUGUCACUUAUAGAUGGAACCGCGCUGCAUUAGCUAGUUGGUAAGGUAACGGCUUACCAAGGCAACGAUGCAUAGCCGACCUGAGAGGGUGAUCGGCCACACUGGAACUGAGACACGGUCCAGACUCCUACGGGAGGCAGCAGUAGGGAAUCUUCCGCAAUGGGCGAAAGCCUGACGGAGCAACGCCGCGUGAGUGAUGAAGGUCUUCGGAUCGUAAAACUCUGUUAUUAGGGAAGAACAUAUGUGUAAGUAACUGUGCACAUCUUGACGGUACCUAAUCAGAAAGCCACGGCUAACUACGUG